UACAGAGGUCUCAACCGUUGUUCGGAUUCAUUGGGCGUAAAGGGUGCGCAGGCGGCCAGGUGUGUUAGGCGUGAAAGCCCGGGGCUUAACCCCGGAAUUGCACCUAAAACUACUUGGCUAGAGCAUUGGAGAGGGUAGCGGAAUUCACGGUGUAGCAGUGAAAUGCGUAGAUAUCGUGAGGAACACCAGAGGCGAAGGCGGCUACCUGGACAAUUGCUGACGCUCAGGCACGAAAGCGUGGGAGCAAAGGG
rnacentral:rRNA from 1 species